GCCGAGGGGGCGGGGUCACGAGCCGCCAGCCGCUGGGUGGAGGUCCCCGGCCGGGAGCCGCGGAAAGAGGAGGGCUCCCCAGACAACGGGGUCCGACGAGCAGUUGGGCACGGGCUGAGUCCGCCUGCCGGCAGAAUGUCCCUGGCUGCUUAUUGUGUCAUCUGUUGCAGAAGAAUAGGAACCUCUACUUCCCCACCAAAAAGUGGCACACACUGGAGAGAGAUCAAGGUUCUUUAUUUCUUACAUAUGAAGUUCUGGCCCUGAAGAAGGCUGUGACAUUAGAUACUCAAGUGGUAGAAAGAGAAAAAAUGAAGUCAUAUAUAUAUGUGCACACAGUUUCUUUAGAUAAAGGAGAAAAUCAUGGUAUUGCCUGGCAGGCAAGAAAAGAACUUCACAAAGCAGUAAGAAAAGUAUUGGCAACAUCAGCCAAGAUACUGCGGAAUCCAUU
rnacentral:lncRNA from 1 species